rnacentral:rRNA from 1 species
AGACGGAAAGACCCCGUGAACCUUUACUAUAGCUUUAGACUGGAUGCUGAUGUUGUCUGUGUAGGAUAGCUGGGAGGCUUUGAAACCACGUCGCCAGAUGCGGUGGAGCCAACCUUGAAAUACCAGCCUGACAUCAUUGGCGUUCUAACUCAGGUCCGUUAUCCGGAUCGAGGACAGUGUAUGGUGUGUAGUUUGACUGUGGCGGUCUCCUCCUAAAGAGUAACGGAGGAGCACGAAGGUACCCUCAGCACGGUUGGAAAUCGUGCAUUGAGUGCAAGAGCAUAAGGG